rnacentral:rRNA from 1 species
UACGUAGGGUGCAAGCGUUGUCCGGAAUUUAUUGGGCGUAAAGAGCUCGUAGGCGGUUUGUCGCGUCUGCUGUGAAAACUCGGGGCUUAACCCCGGGCCUGCAGUGGGUACGGGCAGACUAGAGUGCGGUAGGGGAGACUGGAAUUCCUGGUGUAGCGGUGAAAUGCGCAGAUAUCAGGAGGAACACCGGUGGCGAAGGCGGGUCUCUGGGCCGUAACUGACGCUGAGGAGCGAAAGCGUGGGGAGCGAACAGG